GGGGACAUAAGUCCUUACCAAACCGUUGCAAACUCCGAAUACCCUGAAGUUCAAUCGCGGGAGACACACGGUGGGAGCUAAAUUUCAUCGUGAAGAGGGAAACAACCCAGACCGCCAGCUAAGGUCCCUAAAUCAUCGCUAAGUGGUAAACGAUGUGGAAAGUCAUAGACAGCCAGGAUGUUGGCUUAGAAGCAGCCAUCAUUUAAAGAGUGCGUAAUAGCUCACUAGUCGAGUGGCCCUGCGCCGAAAAUGUAACGGGGCUAAACAAGAUGCCGAAGCCACGGAUAAAUCCGUAUGGAUUUAUGGUAGGAGAGCG
rnacentral:rRNA from 1 species